UUUGACUAUUUUGUUGUUUCACAGGGAACUGGAACUUUUAUAAUAUCUUUUCUCAAUAUGAAUUAUUUGAGUACCACAAUGCUGUUGCAAUUUUGUCUCCUGCACUCAUGACUUCCACUUGGUAGCUUUUGGGUUCCUUAUUAAUUUGUUAAUUCUAUGUAUCUGCUGGAGGCACACACUAACUGAUGAUGCGGCUCCAGUAUGUUAUCAAUGGUAGCUGCUGAAUGCACACACUCUGUGCUAAUUUUCUAAUUAUAUUCCUGUCCAUCUGGUGGAGCUGGAGCUAUCACACCUGAAACUUAGGUCCUGUUUGGCACGGCUCCACUCCUAAACUCCAGCAACUCCAUCAAAAAAUUCAGCCAAACACCCCAACUCCAAAACUCCAUGGAGUUGCCAACUCCAUGGAGCUGUAGUGCAAAUGGAGGUGGAGUUUUGGAGCACCUCUUUUGCUGCUCCAGAAACCUCUCUUUUGAACCUCCUCGUGGAGUUGGUGGGUAAUUACCCACCAAUUCCACUGGUUACACAAAAAAACGUUUCAUUCUAUUCUCUCUUCUAUUCUCUCGAGCCCCACUCGCCGCCAGAGCCCCGCCCGUCGCCGCCCGCCGCCGCCCUCGUCGCCCGUUGCCGCCCGCCACCCGCUGCCCGUCGCCGCCCGCCGCCCGUCGUCGCCCGUCGCCGCACCCGCCGCCCGUCGCCGCCCGCCGCCGCACCCGCCGCCCAUCGCCGCCCGCCGCCGCGCCCGGCGCCCGUCGCCGCCUGUCGUCGCCCGUCGUCGCCCGUUGCCGCCCGCCGCCGCCCGCCGCCUAUCCUCGCACGUCGUCGCCUGUCGCCGCCUGUCGCCGCCCAGCCCGCCGCCCGUCGCCGCCCGCCGCCUCCCGUUGACGCCCGCCGCCGCCCGCCGCCUCCCGUCGACGCCCGCCGCCGCCCGCCGCCGCACCCGUCGCCCGUCGCCGCCCGUCGCCGCCCACCGCCCGCCGUCGAGCCCGCCGCCUACCCCGCCGCCCGUCGCCGCCCAGCCCGCCACCCACCCCGCCGCCCGUGGAGGGUCUCCCGUGUGCAGCGCAGUGCAGUGGAAAAAGGGGAAGAAGAAGAUGGGAUAGAGAGGAUGACAAGUGGGGCCUUAAUUAGGGGGCAACAAUGGCAAUCCACACUGAAAUCGAUCUUGUUUGGAGCUGAGAGCACCAUCUAGCCAAACACCCUAUUUUUUUUCUGGAGUUUUGGAGCGGAGCUGGCUCCAUGUGGAGUUCAGAAGUGGAGCAGUUCCACCCGGAGUUGGAGCCAUGCCAAACAGGACCUUAGGAAGAUGAAUAAGCAAUAAAAGAUUUUAUUCUCAUGUGGUGAGUUUCUACAACUCCAUAUAUAUGUCUACUUGCAGCUUGAUUCUGCGUAUUAGUUGGUGUCAACACUCAACAGUCCAUAUUAUGCUGCUUUUGACAAUUUAUUGUCACUUCAUAAUCAUGGUGGCAUGCUCUGAAGUUGGAGGUUCAGGUGGUAUUCCUAGACAGAAUCCAAUUGAGCCAAACUCCUCGAAAGCAUUGUUGGCAAGGGUACACAUCUGCCUAUCAGAUUUCAUUUUCUCGGUUCUUUCUCGUUUUCAUAUGUGAUAACAUAGUAAAUAAUUCUCUGCAGAGGUGCUGUCAAUCCCACAAGGGGCAGUGCUGCUGGUCAUCCUCACCACGGCUGAUUCCGCCUCCGCGUUCAUGCUGGCCACCACGCAGCAAGGUGAGAGGGUGCUGCAAGCGAUGCCCGUGUUGUGCUCGACAGAUUGUGUCAGCUUGUCAAUGGGAUCAAUUUCUUUGUUUUUGGUAAGUAAGCCCAGCGUUAGAUAAUCUGCAGUUGUGCAAACAGAUUCAUGUAGCCUUAAAAUAUGGAGGCGUUGCUAAAGAACCCAUGCUGCCCCACUGCUGACAAAUGACCGCUGCAGGUCUGUUCAUGAUAAUAUGGGAAGAUAGAUACACGCAUUCUAUUUAACAUACGGAUAUGAGAUGCUAGAUACAUGGUGGUGAACUUGAGUGUUUUUUUUAAAGAAUGCUAUAUGAUGUGUUGGGGUUUGGUACAACAGUUGGUUUCUUUUCUUGGUUUGCCUUAUUUCUUUAUCUUGAAGUAAACUUUUGCCAUUGAUUACACGCCUUUUUUUCUCUUUACCCGCGUGGUACUUUCCUCUUUCUGGUGUUUGAAGAGAACGAUUUUCAGGAAAAUAAGUCUGUCAACAAUAAUGACAACCAGCUGUGUUCCACUAUAUCUAGGAAAUUUAAUUUUCACAUUAAGGAUUUUGAUCUCUCGCAAUGCUCUAGCUAACUCUGUGAAGACAGAUGCCAUUAAUUUCUUUGUUUCAUGACUGUAGAGCUAAUGGCUCGUAUGUAUGGAUCAAGGAAAUUUAAUUGGAAUUGACUUCUCGAAAAUUUGAAGUUCUUUUAUAUAUCUAUGUAUUGCACUUUGCUAAAUCUAAUAUGAAUAUAGAAUUCUUAUUUACUAAGUUACUUAAAAAAAACAUACCUGGCAUAACUCUAAGGUUAAUUUGAUUGAGUUUGGCUUUUUAUUCAAAUAAUGUAGGUUUAUAUGUGGUGCAUCCAUCUUUAUCACUUAUGGAUGAUGAUGAUGAUGAUGAUGUACAAGCGAGGGUGAAAAAAGACAAAGGAGAAGACAGCAUUAGAGGGGAAGAUUAGCAAAGGGGAAAAAGACAAAAGCACCAGAGCCGCAUCUUAUUUUCUUCGCGAGAACUUAAAAGGGAUGAAAGUAAUUGUGCCUCCAUCUAAAUUUAAUAUGAAUAUAAAAUUCUUAUCUACUAUGUUUUUCGAAAACAAGUGCGUGUCCCCACGUGCACUCAGAACAUUAUGUAGCUAUAAGAUCAGGUAGAUUGCGAUGCAUAU
rnacentral:lncRNA from 1 species